rnacentral:RNase_P_RNA from 1 species
ACAGGCAAGCGAUCCGUCGCUCGCGAUUUAUCGCGAGAGGAACUUCCCGACUCCUGGUUCGAUCUAACCAUCGAACAGGGUUGCCUCACGAAACAGCAAGUGAGGGCAUCCUGAGCGCAAGCGAAGGAUGACGACAACUGCAACAGAAAAUAAUUCUCACCGCGAUUUUUUUCGCGCAAGCAAAAAAAAUUUCGGCGAAGACUGAAACGGUGGGGUAAGAGCCCACCAGCGUCGUGAGCGAUCGCGGCGGCUAGGUGAAUGUCCAACUAGGAGCAAGGCGGGUGGGAUCGGCUCGCAGGUUCGCUCUGACCAAACACGCCAGAGUCUGCAGUUGAUUCCCGUCGCAGUGGAAAUGUGGAGGGCGAGUAACACUCGUCAAAAUAAUUUCCACCGUACGAGAUAGAUGGCGGAUAAAACAGAAUCGGGAGUACGGCUUGCCUGAUUUU